rnacentral:rRNA from 1 species
CGGGGGGCUGCACCAGUGGGGAAUAUUGCACAAUGGGCGCAAGCCUGAUGCAGCCAUGCCGCGUGUAUGAAGAAGGCCUUCGGGUUGUAAAGUACUUUCAGCGGGGAGGAAGGGAGUAAAGUUAAUACCUUUGCUCAUUGACGUUACCCGCAGAAGAAGCACCGGCUAACUCCGUGCCAGCAGCCGCGGUAAUACGGAGGGUGCAAGCGUUAAUCGGAAUUACUGGGCGUAAAGCGCACGCAGGCGGUUUGUUAAGUCAGAUGUGAAAUCCCCGGGCUCAACCUGGGAACUGCAUCUGAUACUGGCAAGCUUGAGUCUCGUAGAGGGGGGUAGAAUUCCAGGUGUAGCGGUGAAAUGCGUAGAGAUCUGGAGGAAUACCGGUGGCGAAGGCGGCCCCCUGGACGAAGACUGACGCUCAGGUGCGAAAGCGUGGGGAGCAAACAGGAUUAGAUACCCGCGUAGUC